rnacentral:rRNA from 1 species
CAAUAGCGUAUAUUUAAGUUGUUGCAGUUAAAAAGCUCGUAGUUGGAUUUCGGUUAAGAGCGACCGGUCCGCCGUUUGGUGUGCACUGGUUGGUUUUAACUUCCUGUAGAGGACGUGCUCUGGGUUUAACGACCUGGACUCGGAGUCUACGUGGUUACUUUGAAAAAAUUAGAGUGUUCAAAGCGGGCUUACGCUUGAAUAUUUCAGCAUGGAAUAACACUAUAGGACUCCUGUCCUAUUUCGUUGGUCUCGGGACGGGAGUAAUGAUUAAGAGGAACAGUUGGGGGCAUUCGUACUUCAUUGUCAGAGGUGAAAUUCUUGGAUUUAUGAAAGACGAACUUCUGCGAAAGCAUUUGCCAAGGAUGUUUUCAUUAA